AGAAUCAACGCUGGCGGCGUGCCUAACACAUGCAAGUCGAACGAGAAAGGGGAGCAAUCCCUGAGUAAAGUGGCGACCGGGUGAGUAACACGUGACUAACCUACCCUCGAGUGUGGAAUAACAUCGGGAAAACCGAUGCUAAUACCGCAUAACAUCGGCGCUUUUAAGAGAUGCCGAUCAAAAGGAGCAAUCCGCUUGAGGAGGGGGUCGCGGCUGAUUAGUUAGUUGGCGGGGUAAUGGCCCACCAAGACUAUGAUCGGUA
rnacentral:rRNA from 1 species